CAGCCUGAGAAACGGCUACCACAUCCACGGGAGGCAGCAGGUGCGCAAAUUACCCAAUGCUGAUUCAGCGAGGUAGUGACAAAAAAUAACGAUAAGCGGCUUUCAGUUGCUAAUUCGGAAUGAGAACAAUCUAAAAACCUUAUCGAUCAUCAAGCGGAGGGCAAGUCUGGUGC
rnacentral:rRNA from 1 species